UUCCGGUUGAUCCCGCCGGACCCGACUGCUAUCAGAGUGGGACUAAGCCAUGCGAGUCGACGUAGCAAUGCGUGGCGAACGGCUCAGUAACACGUAGUCAACAUGCCCAGGGGACGUGGAUAACCUCGGGAAACCGAGAAUAAACCACGAUAGGUCACGAUUUCUGGAAUGGAUCAUGGCCUAAAUCUACUUGGCCCCUGGAUUGGACUGCGGCCGAUCAGGCUGUUGGUGAGGUAAUGGCCCACCAAACCUAUAACCGGUACGGGCUCUGAGAGGAGAAGCCCGGAGAUGGGCACUGAGACAAGGGCCCAGGCCCUAUGGGGCGCAGCAGGCGCGAAACCUCUGCAAUAGGCGAAAGCCUGACAGGGUUACUCUGAGUGAUUUCCGCUAAGGGGAUCUUUUGGCACCUCUAAAAAUGGUGCAGGAUAAGGGGUGGGCAAGUCUGGUGUCAGCCGCCGCGGUAAUACCAGCACCCCGAGUGGUCGGGACGAUUAUUGGGCCUAAAGCAUCCGUAGCCGGUUCUGCAAGUCUUCCGUUAUAUCCAGCCGCUCAACGGAUGGGCCGCGGAGGAUACUACAGGACUAGGAGGCGGGAGAGGCAAGCGGUACUCAGUGGGUAGGGGUAAAAUCCUUUGAUCCAUUGAAGACCACCAGUGGCGAAGGCGGCUUGCCAGAACGCGCUCGACGGUGAGGGAUGAAAGCUGGGGGAGCAAACCGGAUUAGAUACCCGGGUAGUCCCAG
rnacentral:rRNA from 1 species